rnacentral:rRNA from 1 species
GCGCACGGGUGCGUAACGCGUAUGCAACCUACCCUGUACUGAGGGAUAGCCCGGAGAAAUCCGGAUUAACACCUCAUAGUAUUAAGAUACCGCAUGGUAAUUUAAUUAAAGGUUACGGUACAGGAUGGGCAUGCGUCCUAUUAGUUAGUUGGAGAGGUAACGGCUCACCAAGGCUACGAUAGGUAGGGGUCCUGAGAGGGUUGUCCCCCACACUGGUACUGAGACACGGACCAGACUCCUACGGGAGGCAGCAGUGAGGAAUAUUGGUCAAUGGACGCAAGUCUGAACCAGCCAUGCCGCGUGCAGGAAGAAUGCCCUAUGGGUUGUAAAC